UACGUAGGGUGCGAGCGUUAAUCGGAAUACUGGGCGUAAAGCGUGCGCAGGCGGACCAUUAAGUUGGGCGUGAAAUCUCCCGGCCUAACUGGGAGGGGUCGCCCAAGACUGGUGGUCUUGAGGACAGCAGAGGUGGGUGGAAUUCCUGGUGUAGUGGUGAAAUGCGUAGAGAUCAGGAGGAACACCGGUGGCGAAGGCGGCCCACUGGGCUGUCACUGACGCUGAGGCGCGAAGCUCGGGGGAGCGAACGGG
rnacentral:rRNA from 1 species